UACGUAGGGUGCGAGCGUUGCCCGGAUUUAUUGGGCGUAAAGGGCGCGCAGGCGGCUACGCACGUCCGUUGUGAAAUCGCUCGGCUCAACUGGGCGGGGUCAGCGGAUACGGCGUAGCUGGAGCAAGCUAGGGGGCAAUGGAAUUCCCGGUGUAGUGGUGGAAUGCGUAGAUAUCGAGAGGAACACCUGCGGCGAAGGCGGGUUGCUGGGCUGACACUGACGCUGAGGCGCGAAAGCUAGGGGAGCGAACGGG
rnacentral:rRNA from 1 species